UACGGAGGGGGCUAGCGUUGUUCGGAAUUACUGGGCGUAAAGCGCACGUAGGCGGAUCAGUUAGUCGGGGGUGAAAUCCCGGGGCUCAACCCCGGAACUGCCUUCGAUACUGCUGGUCUGGAGGUCGAGAGAGGCGAGUGGAAUUCCGAGUGUAGAGGUGAAAUUCGUAGAUAUUCGGAGGAACACCAGUGGCGAAGGCGGCUCGCUGGCUCGAUACUGACGCUGAGGUGCGAAAGCGUGGGGAGCAAACAGG
rnacentral:rRNA from 1 species